GUCGCGCUAGCUCAAUCGGUAGAGUAGAGCGUGAGACUCUUAAUCUCAAGGUUGUGGGUUCGACCCCCACGUCGGGCU
rnacentral:tRNA from 2 species